GUAACUGAAAGCUGCAAGAGUUUGUUAUCUGACUGGAAAAGGAGCCUUAAGGCUGCCCUAUGUUGGCUGCCAUCCCUGCAGCUUGCAGGCUGGGUACUCGUGAGAUAAAUGAGCUUACAGUUCCUGGACAUGCUCUGAAAAAUUACUGAAUUUGGUGUUAUAUUCUGGUGUCCCUUUUGAUGUACAUCUUAACUGCAUUUGGCUUUAUUUUGCAGGUACGAGCUGGGCAGGGCUGUUGGGGUGAAGAGGCCGAAUGGACCGCCUCACUGCAGUCUUCGGUACCGGCUGCGGGGCAGGUCGCUGCAGGCUGUUGCAGGUCCCUCGGUGCCUUCAUUCUUGCUCAUUUAGCGUCGCACGGCUAGCUGCGGGGCUUUUCCUUUUUUUGGUCUCGCCCUCUCGGGCUUUCUGGAAUGUUGGGGCCAAGACGGCUCGCGUUGAAGGCCGAGGAAGUUCACUAGGAACUCUCGGUUGUUGUAGCUCAAAGUGAACCCCUUUUGUUAGUCUUAACAACAAUGUAGUAGCCAUUGUAGUUUGUAUGUAAUAAAUUCCAAACACUUGUAAUGUGUUAGCUUUGAAAAUUCUGAAGUUGUACUUGUACCCUUAUUCAAGAAAUAAAAAUACUCUUUCAUUCGUCAA